rnacentral:rRNA from 1 species
GACGAACGCUGGCGGCGUGCCUAAUACAUGCAAGUAGAACGCUGAAGGAGGAGCUUGCUUCUCUGGAUGAGUUGCGAACGGGUGAGUAACGCGUAGGUAACCUGCCUGGUAGCGGGGGAUAACUAUUGGAAACGAUAGCUAAUACCGCAUAAGAGUAGAUGUUGCAUGACAUUUGCUUAAAAGGUGCAAUUGCAUCACUACCAGAUGGACCUGCGUUGUAUUAGCUAGUUGGUGGGGUAACGGCUCACCAAGGCGACGAUACAUAGCCGACCUGAGAGGGUGAUCGGCCACACUGGGACUGAGACACGGCCCAGACUCCUACGGGAGGCAGCAGUAGGGAAUCUUCGGCAAUGGACGGAAGUCUGACCGAGCAACGCCGCGUGAGUGAAGAAGGUUUUCGGAUCGUAAAGCUCUGUUGUAAGAGAAGAACGAGUGUGAGAGUGGAAAGUUCACACUGUGACGGUAUCUUACCAGAAAGGGACGGCUAACUACGUGCCAGCAGCCGCGGUAAUACGUAGGUGGCAAGCGUUAUCCGGAUUUAUUGGGCGUAAAGAGAGUGCAGGCGGUUUUCUAAGUCUGAUGUGAAAGCCUUCGGCUUAACCGGAGAAGUGCAUCGGAAACUGGAUAACUUGAGUGCAGAAGAGGGUAGUGGAACUCCAUGUGUAGCGGUGGAAUGCGUAGAUAUAUGGAAGAACACCAGUGGCGAAGGCGGCUACCUGGUCUGCAACUGACGCUGAGACUCGAAAGCAUGGGUAGCGAACAGGG